rnacentral:rRNA from 1 species
AUUGCACGCUGGCGGCAGGCCUAACACAUGCAAGUCGAGCGGAGCGGCGGACGGGGGAGUAAUGCCUAGGUAUCUGCCUGGUAGUGGGGGAUAACGUUCGGAAACGGGCGCUAAUACUGCUAACUAUCAGAUGAGCCUAGGUCGGAUUGGCUAGUUGUUGUGGUAAAGGCCUACCAAGGCGACGAGCCGUAACUGGUCUUAGAGUAUGAUCAGUCACACUGGGACUGAGACAAGGUCCAGACUCCUACGGGAGGCAGCAGUGGGGAAUAUUGGACAAUGGGCGAAAGCCUGAUCCAGCCAUGCCGCGUGUGUGAAGAAGGUCUUCGGAUUGUAAAGCACUUUAAGUUGGGAGGCGUUACCAACAGAAUAAGCACCGGCUAACUUCGUGCCAGCCGCCGCGGUAAUAC